AUUUUUGGCUCCUUUGGAAAUGUUACAGAGAGAGGUUUCCCUGCUAGUUGGAUUGUUGGUUUGUGACUUCUGCCAUUUCAGUUUAUAGAAUCUGAUGAUUUGGGGGAGAUUACAUCGAGGAAAGUGAAAGGAUAUGUUGAUCGGUCAUUGGAAGCUGCAUGCAUGAGGGUGAUGGAUAAUAUAUAUUUCGGACCUGAAGUAGAUAGGACACAUCCCUUGGCUCUCCUUGCAAGUGAGCUUAAAAUU